rnacentral:rRNA from 1 species
AUCUGCCUACGGGGGGCAGCAGUGGGGAAUAUUGGACAAUGGGGGGAACCCUGAUCCAGCGACGCCGCGUGAGUGAAGAAGUAUUUCGGUAUGUAAAGCUCUAUCAGCAGGGAAGAAAGAAAUGACGGUACCUGACUAAGAGGCCCCGGCUAACUACGUGCCAGCAACCGCGGUAAUACGUAGGGGGCAAGCGUUAUCCGGAUUUACUGGGUGUAAUGGGAGCGUAGACGGCGAUGCAAGUCUUCAGUGAAAGGCGGGGGCCCA